AUGUUGUCUGUUGCUCUUCUGCUGCUGCUGGCAGCUGGAUCCUGUGUGAAGUGUGAGACACUGACACAGCCAGCCUCUGUGACUGUGCAGCCAGGACACACUCUCACCAUCUCCUGUACUGUCUCAUACUCUGGCUACUACACUGCAUGGAUCAGACAGCCUGCUGGGAAACCAAUGGAGUGGAUUGGACACAAUUGUGCAGGAUGUUCAGCUACAAUUAAACCUUCACUGAACAACAAAUUCAGUAUAGAGCAUUCCUCCAGCAACACAGUGACUCUGAAUGGACAGAACAUGCAGCCUGGAGACACUGCAGUGUACUACUGUGCUCGGUAUCCACAGUCACACAAAGUAUAUCUAGAGCUGUACAAAAACACAUCAGGCUGUUAUUCACUUUAACUACCA